rnacentral:rRNA from 1 species
UACGUAGGGGGCAAGCGUUGUCCGGAUUUAUUGGGCGUAAAGAGCGUGUAGGCGGUUAGGUAGGUCCGUUGUGAAAACUCGAGGCUCAACCUCGAGACGCCGAUGGAAACCAUCUAACUAGAGUCCGGAAGAGGAGAGUGGAAUUCCACGUGUAGCAGUGAAAUGCGUAGAGAUGUGGAGGAACACCGAUGGCGAAGGCAGCCCCCUGGGCUAACACUGACGCUCAGGCACGAAAGCGUGGGGAGCAAACAGG